rnacentral:rRNA from 1 species
GUCCACGCCGUAAACGAUGAGAACUAGUUGUGGCGGGUAUUAACCCCUGCCGUGACGUAGCAAACGCGUUAAGUUCUCCGCCUGGGGAGUACGGUCGCAAGACUAAAACUCAAAGGAAUUGACGGGGCCCGCACAAGCGGUGGAUUAUGUGGUUUAAUUCGAAGCAACGCGCAAAACCUUACCUGGGUUUGAAAUCCCGCGAAUCCGUCAGAGAUGAUGGAGUGCCCUUCGGGGAAUGCGGAGACAGGCGCUGCAUGGCUGUCGU